UCACGUCCACCUCUCAGGGCCAAAGUCGUAUCGACAGCUUCAAGACGAAAUGGUUGAGGAAUUGGGAUGAGAAGUCCGACUUGGUGAGGUU